UCAAGUAUUGUUGCUCUGAUUCUAUCAGUUAGAGCUCCCCUUUUCAAUAUGCUAGCACACCUGCCGCUAAGAAGAAAUGACUAAGUUGUGUUCUGUAUAUGCCAAACUCCUUCACCAAUCAAGCUUCUACAUUACAGAAUUCUGCUGUCUGCUUUUAUGACCCUCUGCAUAGGCAGGCUUCAAAAACAAGUGGGAGAAGAGAAGGACCUCUGCACAAGGAUCCUCCACAGCAAAAUAAAAAUAAAAACACAAAGUCACAGUAACAGAACAUCAGCCAUGUUCUCUCAGAGCACGUUAAGGCCUCUCGGUCCUUUCAAGAGCAGGUUGUGCGUGGUUCAGGCACCCCCCUAGUCAGACAGUGUCCUCCACGUGGCUUCAACAGGAGGAAAGGAUGCUGGCAAGGUCCAGA